rnacentral:rRNA from 1 species
UACGAAGGGGGCUAGCGUUGCUCGGAAUCACUGGGCGUAAAGCGCACGUAGGCGGAUUGCUAAGUCAGGGGUGAAAUCCUGGAGCUCAACUCCAGAACUGCCUUUGAUACUGGCGGUCUCGAGUCCGGGAGAGGUGAGUGGAACUGCGAGUGUAGAGGUGAAAUUCGUAGAUAUUCGCAAGAACACCAGUGGCGAAGGCGGCUCACUGGCCCGGUACUGACGCUGAGGUGCGAAGGCCAGGGGAGCAAACGGG